AUCCAGUUGACGAGUCCUAAAUAGAACGAGAUGCGCUUCCUGUAU
rnacentral:hammerhead_ribozyme from 1 species